CGGCGACGUGACCCAAAAUAUAAGCUUGUUUUACUCCAAUGCUGGUAAACCAUGUAAACAAACAAUAUAUAUAUAUUUUGACCUGCAGCUUGUCUGCUAGAGGUUUCUAGUUUGGUCUGCAGCUUGUCUCCUAGAGGUUUCUAGUUUGGUCUGCAGCUUGUCUCCUAGAGGUUUCUAGUUUGGUCUGCAGCUUGUCUCCUAGAGGUUUCUAGUUUGGUCUGCAGCUUGUCUCCUAGAGGUUUCUAGUUUGGUCUGCAGCUUGUCUCCUAGAGGUUUCUAGUUUGGUCUGCAGCUUGUCUCCUAGAGGUUUCUAGUUUGGUCUGCAGCUUGUCUCCUAGAGGUUUCUAGUUUGGUCUGCAGCUUGUCUCCUAGAGGUUUCUAGUUUGGUCUGCAGCUUGUCUCCUAGAGGUUUCUAGUUUGGUCUGCAGCUUGUCUCCUAGAGGUUUCUAGUUUGGUCUGCAGCUUGUCUCCUAGAGGUUUCUAGUUUGGUCUGCAGCUUGUCUCCUAGAGGUUUCUAGUUUGGUCUGCAGCUUGUCUCCUAGAGGUUUCUAGUUUGGUCUGCAGCUUGUCUCCUAGAGGUUUCUAGUUUGGUCUGCAGCUUGUCUCCUAGAGGUUUCUAGUUUGGUCUGCAGCUUGUCUGCUAGAGGUUUCUAGUUUGGUCUGCAGCUUGUCUCCUAGAGGUUUCUAGUUUGGUCUGCAGCUUGUCUCCUAGAGGUUUCUAGUUUGGUCUGCAGCUUGUCUCCUAGAGGUUUCUAGUUUGGUCUGCAGCUUGUCUGCUAGAGGUUUCUAGUUUGGUCUGCAGCUUGUCUCCUAGAGGUUUCUAGUUUGGUCUGCAGCUUGUCUCCUAGAGGUUUCUAGUUUGGUCUGCAGCUUGUCUCCUAGAGGUUUCUAGUUUGGUCUGCAGCUUGUCUCCUAGAGGUUUCUAGUUUGGUCUGCAGCUUGUCUACUAGAGGUUUCUAGUUUGGUCUGCAGCUUGUCUCCUAGAGGUUUCUAGUUUGACAUGCAGCUUGUCUCCUAGUGGUUUCUCCACAGGAAGUAGUAAUGUGUGUUAUUAAC